ensembl:lncRNA
AUGUGACCACCGGCUGGAGAGAGCAGGAUGCCCCGCCACAAGAGCCCCAUGGCCCGCAUCUGACCAAGUCCUCUAGCCCGUACCAUCACAUGGAAGACAAACUUCGGCAGAUCGAGAGACAGAUGGCCGCGCUGGAGAAGCUUCCUAGCGGUACCGAUCUUCUGAGCCGCACUGCCUCAACCACAACACCGGUCAACGACUUGUGGCAGCUGAUGCAGCUCCGCCGCAAGGCUCAGGCGAGUGAGGACGGCGUGUCCAAGUCUAUGUCGCUGAUCCAGGAUCUGCUGAAGGAGAUCCAGGACCUGAAGGAGUCCAGAGACGACCUGAAGAAAGAGGUCAAGAGCCUCCAGAACCAACUCAACCAGCUGAAUAUGAGUGAGCUGGUUGACAGAAUCAACGAAGUGGAACAGUACUGCCACCGACUGGACAACCUGGACUCUGCCACCAAAGAGCUGCAGGACAGAGUUGGGCGUUACCCAGACCCAGACGAGCUCAUCCAGUGUGUGACCUGGGACAUCAUGCAGACCACCUUGGUUAGCGAGCAACAGAAUCUGCAAAAGGAAAUCAAGCACUCAGUCCCUGUCCCCACAUCAGUUGUCAUGACCACCAUGACUCCUUUCAGCGGAGCUGC